CCCAUGGACACGAACUAAGGUGAGGGAAUGCUUGUGGGAGGGGGUUGUAGGGUGGAGGGGCAUAAAGGGAAGAAAAAAAUGGGUCAACAGUAAUAGCAUAAUUAAUAAAAUACACUUAAAAUGUUCCUUGUUAAACUGCCAAAAGAUUGCUCAGAAAGUUGGAAACAAUGUGAGGAAGCUGCUAAGAAGAGCUCAGACCUUGGCAUCCUGCACGCCUCCACCUGUGGGCCUUCUGGCCAAGGAGGGCACAGAAGGCAGAGCUGUGCCCACAGGGCCGAGGCUGCAAGAUUUGGUGAAAUCUAAAGACAAAGACAAGUUAGAAACAUUAUUUGUAAAACAUAAAGCAGCUAAAGCCUCAAUUCUUCAAAAAAAAUUUUUUUAAAAGCUUUUAAAUCAACCAGAAGGAUAGUGGGGGAGGGCUGGCAAGGCAGCAUUCCUGUUCUUUGCCCCAGAAACCCCACUUCCUUGAUAUUAUACAUAAUAAAACCUUAACAGUGGCCACCUUUCCAAAAUGAGAUGGAGAAGGGACUUUUCCUUAUCACUUCAUGAUUCCUAUUUUGUUUGAAUUCUUUAUUAACAAUAUGACUCACUCUCAUUAUUUAAAGUUCUUCUAAAUGAAGCUGGGGGUGGGAAAGCGAUGAUUCCCCCAAGCGCCCAGAACAGUGCUGGGUUCAUGGUAGGCAGCAGUCAGUAUCCCAGAACCUGACCCCUACGAGAGGGAACUUCCCCUUUGCAAGGAGAUAAGUUGUUGGAAAUCCACCUUCACUGAAAGUGGUCAUUGGAUCAUGUAUAGAGAAAAGAAUGCAGAUUGUCUUUUAAUCCAAGGGUCAUUAGUAUUGGUAAUGAGAUAUUUAUCUUUAGAAUCACUUAUCCUCUUGACCCUUAAUUUGUAGUGCUAUUUGACUUAAAAAAUGGCUGUGAGAGGAUGUAAGCAAGAGAAAUAUUAUUAACCUGAGCUUGAUCUUUCAUUAGCUCCUGUGAUAUGUAGUGAACUCAAAAGAUACCUGUUGCAGGAGGUUAAUUUCUGCCGCGGAGAGAGUUGCUGAAAUUUACAUUUGCUGUAUUUAACUGUCUGUAGGAAAUCACUUUAGAUACGUCUGCCUAGGAAAAGGGCAGAAUAUUAAUAUUGUGUAAUUAUUCUUUCCUUUCGUCUCCAGAACAUUUGUCCCUAGACAGAAUUCCGUGAUAGUGAAAAAGGCAUUUCUUUUUAUUUAUCUCCUCGGAAAGUUACAAGGCAGUACUGGUUUCUUACCUUCUAGUGCCUAAUAUAGCCUCUUGUAAUUACACUUAAAAAUAUACUUUUUUACUCACCGGAAGACUAUGCUAUCCUUGAUUAUAACUAUGACUUCAGGGUGGUUUGACAAACUUUCUGUUACAUGUGAUUAUGAAUUUGUAUGUAACCACAUACAAGAGCAAGUAAUGUAGAGAUGUUGCACGCAUAGAUUCAUACCCUGCCUGCAGAGAUUGGGAAAGGGUGAAACUCAUCAAGAUCUUAGUGAUGCUGUGAGGCAGCUAAUCCUUUUUGGGGACUCUACCUUCCCCUCCAUAGUUCAUUGUUAGACCAUUUGUUCCUUUGCCAAAUGAUUACGUGCUGCAGGCUGAGUAGAGAACGUGUAUGUGCACUGUGUUAUACAACAUGUGCUUCGUAACUGUGGUUAAGAGUGAAUGCUUGUUUUUAAGUUAUUAGGAAAGAAGAGGCAAGCAUCGUCAUUUAAUUAGCCUUGCUUUCCAGCCUUUUCUCCUUUUCUACCUAAUGCACUAUUUCAAAGAAGCAGAGUACCAGUAAAAACAAAAUUUUGAUGAAUGUUUUUACAACAUAAUGGCUCAUAAAAAUUUAUUACAGAUAGAAGAAAAAAUGGAAAAAUUAAGAGAUUAGAGUUCACAUAUUUUCAAAAUACUGUUAUAAUUUUUAUUUACCUGUAAAGAUUCACCAAGAACAAGAUGGCAAUUCUGUGGCAGAUUUUCUAUCUAGGAUACUAGAGUUACUUGGAAUAUCUACUAGGAUAGAAUUCUAGCAGCAGGAUAAUCAUAGGAUAAAAGCUGAUAGAUUGGUGUGUGUGUGUGUGUGUGUGUAUGUGUAUAGUGGAGGGUGUAGGGGAUGCGAGCUUUGUAAUUGUUUCACAAUAUUCCUAAAGUUAUUUUGUUGAAUGCUAAAGAAUUGUACAAGACUGUUUCAUGUACUAGAAUUCUGUUGUGGUCAUGGUCUGGGACUUGGAAUUUUUUCCCUGGGUAUAAACAUUUUUCUUUUCCCUAAACAGCAAUUGUGGUGAGGGGCUUUGCUCUGAAAGAACUCUUCUGGGCUCCAAUCUCUGUAUGAUACUUAAUUUUCCAGGGUUGUCCUUUGAAAGAUUCUGGAUGUUACUCUGAGUUGUUUGGAUCUGGACACUGAUGGUGUGCUUUUAGGGAGGUUGGCUAAGGUGAAAUCAAUCCUCUUUCUCCAUGAGAGGUGUGAAGUGUGACUGCAAACCUUCUGUGUUUCAGUCCAGAGUCGUGUGCCCUGCAGAUGCCAUCACUGGUAUUGCUAAGCAGAUUCCUGGGAGCCCGGGCGCAGGAGAUGCCAUGCAGGCCUUUGGCUGUCUUUCCAUCAAAUUGAGACAAAGCUGCUUUCAGAAUCAAUUGAAUUCUCAACUCCUAAUCGGUGACCGUGUUCAUGGCAAUCCUGAGUGAUUGUCUUGCAUUUAGAGUAAACUCAGUAAAAUCAAGUUACAGAGACCGCUCUCUUUGUCCAGCUGUCAGCAUUAGAUUGUCACCAGUCCUCCCCAGCACCCAUUUCCCUAUUGUGUGACAAGAUAGUUGCUCUAAAAUUUGCUGCCCCAAAUUGUUCAGACAUGUAAUCACAUGUAUUUGAAACUGUGAAAAGGUUAGAGCUGUCGAAACUGCCUUUCUUUGCCCGUAUUAAUUCUGAGGAGAUGGGGAAGUUUCACACCAGUGGAGAAUUUACUCAGUGGUUUAUGAUAAAUUCUCUAAAGCCCUAAUAUUUUCUGUAGAAUACCAUGGAAGACUGUAAAUCAUACCGUGCAGCUAUGAUGAUGGAAAUUAGAAAGGAAAACAAUGUGAAACUUCAUGGGCAUUUGAAAUGAGCAAAUGGUUAGUUUUCAGGAAAACCAGUUCUUACAGCCAACACCUGAUGAGCAAUUUUCCAUCUAUGGUGACAGUAUUUCUUGAGGGAAGAGGAAAAGUGGUCUUUUCAAGACUCUUCCUAAGCUCCUUCAGUGUGUAUUCCACACAGUUCACUUCGGGAGGCCACCUCUGUGAUUAAGUAUGCAAAGUGCGGUCUGUUUGUUUUCAGGUAUUUAGUAAGCUCAUGCAGAAAAAUUAUUUGGCUAUUUCUUUGACAGAAACAAAUUAGUAUUGAAGAACAAAUGUAAUACUGAGGAAGAUCCUAGCUGUCUCAGCCUUUGGGCUGUGGCUCAGAUCCCCACCUGUACUGUAGGUGAGCCCUUCAGCAAGCUUCUCUAAGUUUUGAGUGCUAACAGCUCAACCUGUCACCUUCUUUAGAUAGCUGCCGUUGGCACAGCAGGAGUUGAGUUGUAUUACCCCCCAUGGAGGUUAUGCUUCCCUUCCCCACACAAUGAAUGAAUGAUAAGAGGAUAUAGGAAGUGGCUCUUUGCUUCAAGGUAGAAUACUCUCUGCUAUGCAGUUCGCAAUUGAUACCUAUUGCUAUCCUCCCAAAUCAGCUGUAGUUAGACCAUAACGAGCUUAGCUCCUUCUGCUUCCCCUCACUCUCCUGUCCCCAAAAAAGCUCCCUGAUAAGACAUGUGCACCUGAACUUGCCUCUAAGUAACCAAUCCCAAGGCAAAGUGAAUGCUGUAUUUCUUCAGCUAGAGUGUUGCAUUACCAGCAUCAAAUGUAAGAGAUACCAGAAGGCAUCUGUUACUUAGCUGUGGUCAUUGUACUGAACUGACACACUAAUAGUGUUUUGUCAGAAAGUAUAUCCUGGUUCUGUAAAGGUGUGAGGAUCCCUGAAAGAGAAAGGCACAGAUAGCGACUUUAAAAUACUGAUGUAGGGCCAUUAAAUUUUCCUCUUUUGACAAUUUUUAAAAAUUUUGCUUAUUUUAAACGUUUUAAAGCUAUAUUUUAAUAUAGCUAUAAAUAAACUGCAUGAUGGUGACUACAUGCAUAAUCAUUUAAUUCUACAUUUUAAAAAAUGUAAAAGUAUGUCUUACAACUUUUAGGGAUGCCUGUGUUUUUGUAAGUUAUAUGUUGGGAAGAGCACAGAGAGGGUAACAGUGGUGGAAGUGGUGAGAGCUCGCUAAGGAAUUUUAAGGAAGCUUGGACUUCAGAAUCAAGAAUCUCCUUUGUUACCAGGUAUCAUUACUACCUUCUAGAUUUUAAUUUGCAUAUAAAUUUAUGCUAUGAUAAAUUUAUCAUAGCAUAGCAUCUAAUAUGCAUUUUCUCCCAGACUGCAAUUACUCAGGCCAAUCUUUAAUUAGAUCAAGGCAAAAUAGAUGUUUAUAUACUCUAAUUUUGAAUUAUUUGCACUUCCUAUUAUAAUUUUAAAGUGAUAAAUUCUCAUGGUAGUAUCAAUUAUUUUUUUGUCUACUGGUUUGAAUGAGCCAAGCUCAUCAACUUGUUUGAUCAGCAUUCUGCACAUGUGAGACAGGGUUUCAGUAUUCAUUUGUUUUUCUAAUUUUUAUUUUAUUUAUAUUAUUAUGGUCAUUUAUUAUUGUCACAUUAACAGAAUAUUUCUGUGUUUUUAAGAUAUAAAGUGUGUUCUAAGUUUGAUAAAGUUUCUCUAUAAGAUUUUGUUUUAAAUUUUUUAAAUGAUGUUGCUUUAGAGUUAAAAUCAGUUACUUGCUUAUCGUGUGGGGACAUAUGUAACAGUUACGGGGAGCCGGGCAGAGUUAUGGGCAAAGUGGUGCAGUGCGGUCUCUAAUUUUCCUCUCUCUUCAUGAAGCAAAUAAACAUGAAAUCAUUAUUUUGUGUCUUCAGUGGAGUACCCUAGAGGAAUUGCUGUUUGUUAUAAUGCCACACGUUAUCUAAGCCUCAUGAGUAGAAAUACAAAAAUACGUUUAGAAAAGGAGUUUCAUUUUUUGGCUCCUUGGCAGACUCCUGAUAGUCACGUACAGAAUUCAACCUCGGGAACCAACAGAGCCCACUUUGGUAACUGGGAGUUAAGUAACUGACCUCAGGUAGUUAUCCUAAAACCUGAAACUUAGGUUAAAACCUCUGCUGGCCCAGUGAGUGAGCUGAGAUGUGUUUCUCAAUCGUGACACAAGUUUUACGUUAACAAGCGGUGCUCUCGCCUCCAAGACUUUCUCCACUAACUAGGUCAAAAACGCAAAAAUCUCCCAUGUUAGAGUUGACUUUUCUUUUUAGUUAGUUUUGUGUUUGUUUUGUUUGCUCUGCUAAACUGGAACCUUAUUGUUAAAUGUUCAAAUGGGGAGAAGACACCUAUUUUGCUAUCCUAUAAUUUAUAACACCAGAGGAAGGAUUCAUUCAUCAGAUCUUUUCUUGAGUAUAGAUUUUAAUAAAGAGUUAAAGGACAGAAAGGAGGGUUUUGAAUGGAUCUGGACGUCUAGAGAGGGGAGGGCCUAGAAUUGGAGGUAGGCAGCAGGCUAGUUGAGAUAUUUUCCCAGUUUCACAAAUUUGCCUGCAUAGGAUUGUUUGCAUUAUUUGUCUUGACAGACGGGAGAAAUGCAUAUACCAUCUCUGAAUCAAGUGUUAGAACAUGGCCUAUCUACAAUCCUAGACGAGGGGCACGGGCAGUGGGAUUAGCGUUUGUAGUCCUACUGCACAGGGUUUGCCUUCUGGUCUGGAAGUCAGUCACAUAUAAUGUUGGUUCUUCUUUAUUGUAUUUGCUGUCAUGCAGUGGAACCAGUUUAGGAAAUCACUGGGGAAGCACCGAUGUAGGCACAGGUUUGGCGGUGUUUAUCAUUGUGCUCAAGACCUUGAGACAGAACAGUCUUUACAGCCUCUUCAGUGAAAAAUACUGGCUUCUGGACUCAAUUACAAUUUAGUUCUAGACUUAAGAUCAGUGUAUUUUUGUGUCGAGAAACACCAUUUCACCGUGCGGGGCCUCUACUGUCAGUUCUAUAACAAAUGAGUGUACUAUAAAUGAGGACUUUGAACAGGAAGUUGGUGAUCUCAUACAUUUCCUCAUUCAUUUUGUUCAUUAAGCAAAUAUUUAUCGAACGCCUACUCAGUGUUCUUCACUGUGUUGAGUGCUGGGAACCUUGAGGUAAACAGGAGAGUGGAUUCCUGCCCUUGUGAAACUGAAGGCCACAUGGGGGAGUCAAAUAAACAGGAAGACAAGAAUAAAUCUUGAAAAUGCAGUGAAGGGAAAUGCACUAGUGAUGUGAUGCGAUAGAAAGUAACGAGGGGAAGCUACCUGAAGUUGCUUGGUUAGGAAGGAGCCUGCCGUGACCAGGGAAGAUUGAUGGUCCCUGUACCUGAGCAAAGGCAGGCAGGCCAGUGUCCUUGGGGCCCCAAGGAGUGACACUGAGCAUGUCUGAGAGCAUGAGGCUGAAGGCUGGGCAGUGACCAUAUCUCACAAGGUCUUACAAACAAAUGGGAGGGUUUUGCUGUAAGAAGAGUGGAAGCAUGAGUAGCAUUCUUUAAAGCAGGAAAGCAAUGUAACCUAAUCCCUGUUGUUAAGAAGCUAGGAGAUCAGUUAGACUACUAAGAUACUUAUGUAUGAGGGUGUUCACAAUAGAAAGAAAUAAAAAUUGGUGUCUUACAGAUGAGUUUUGGACAUAGAACCAGUAGGACUUGCUGAUUUAGGAAGAAAGAGGAAGAAGAAUAGUCGAGGAUAUCUUUAUUUUUAUUUUUUUAAAAUUUGAGUCAACUGUUUAAAUGGUGGUCUUUCUUGAGGUGGCGGAGAUGAGAGAGACUAGUCCAGGGUGACAGUAUCAAGGUGGGAAUCAGAGCUUAGACUUGGCCCUGCUGAGGUUGAAAUCGAUGUCGGACUCAAUAUGGAGAUGUCAGGUGCAGAGCUGAACUGAAUCUACAGCUUAGUGAAUAGGUCAGAGUUGGAAAUACAUCUCCUGAAAUAUGUAAAUCCUCAAUGUUUGCAGAUGGCAUUUAAGGGCCCAGGAUCAGUAAGUUCAUUGUAAGAAGGUAAUGUAAGUUGAGAAAAUCUAAAAAGUCCAGCAUUGAUUAUCAAUGAACUUCAUGGUUUGAAGGUCAAGUAAAGGAAGGAGAACAAGGAAAUAGGACCAAGGAGUCACAAAGAAAGUAGGACAAAACCCAGCAGAGCGUGGCAUUAUGGAGCCCAGCAAAAUAGAAUGUUUCCAGAAGGGGAGAGGAGGUUGGCUAUGUCAGCUGUUGCUAAAAGAUGAAGCUACAGACAUCACCGAAUUCAGCCACCUGGGGUUUCACGGGGGAUCUUGGGGAGCAGAAGCAUGGUAGGCAGACCCAGACUGGAGUACACAGAAGUGUGAUUGGUAGAAAAAAAAGGGGGGCAGGAAGAAAGGGAAAUCUUUUAAAGGAGCAGAAAAAUGGUUACUGGAGAGAAUAUGAGGUCACAGGAAUAUAUGUUUUUUAAAGAUAUAAAACUCAUAACUAAGCAAGAGUGUUUGGUGGAUGGUGCAUUUGGGUGGCCUAGGGAAUGCAGGUUUUUAAUGGGACUAAUGGAAAGACAAAUGGGAAAACAGUCCAAGAACCCUCAUCUCAACCUCCUGGCACCAGGGCACAUGGAUCAUAAAAGAAAGUCAAAAAGCACUCGCUAAGGAAGGUUGGUUAAAAAAACACUAAAAAAGAAAACCAAUGUGCUCAGAUACAUGCAUAUUUAGGUAAUGGAAAGGUGAAGGAAGUAAUUAAAGAAGAGAAUGAGGGUGGAGGGAAGUUCAGUGACCAUGGACACGGGGUUUGAGAGGACACUGAAGUGUUUAGAAGGCAGUGGAGAGUGGAGACUUGGAGAAUGUGCAAGGAACAGCUUGGGGAUGGACGUGAGAGAGUGUGUACCGUGAUCUGGGAGGUGGGGUUUGUGCUGGUGGCCAGGGGCACAGGCGAAAGCAUCGGAGUGAAAGGAAGCCUGAUGGGUUCUGUGAACCUGCUGUAGAGCAGGUUUGGUGCUCGCUGUGGGGAUGAAUGGGAAGCCCUGACCUGGGAGCUGCUGCUCCUGCUACGGGUGGGGGAGCGUCGUUCCUUCUCCCUUAAGUUUGCCUCAGUCUGGCUCCUGCAAAACCUGGCCAGUCUUCUGAGAUAGAAAAUGUGUCACUCGUGGGUCUGUCAGCCAACAGGAACGCAGUGUGUGUCGUCAGAGCUCGAGGAGGUCCCCAGCCGUGCCAGGGUGUGCUUCAAACCCGAUUGCGGUGGGAAAUUCUCAGUGCUCGGUGGCAGGGCAAGGAGUGAAGGGAAUGAGCUUUUACUGAGUCCCCAGCUAUGCCAGGCUCUUGAUAACAUUGUCUUAUUUAUUGUGACUUAAGUGCACUUUUCUGCCUAUUUGGUAAGCAACAGU